rnacentral:rRNA from 1 species
CGCUCCUCGUGGCUUAGGUCUAUUCAUGUAUGGGGGGUCGGGCCUGCCCGGUGAAGAGAGGAUUCUCUUUAAACGGCCGCCGUAAUGGGUGCAAAGGUAGCAUAAUCUCUUGCCCUUUAAUUGAGGGAUUGUUGAAUGGUCUGACGGGGGCUCAGCUGUCUCGCUUUAAAAAGAUGAAAUUAACUUUUAAGUGAACAGGCUUAAAUGCGUAGGCUGGACGAGAAGACCCCGUGGAGUUUUUAUUGCUUUCGCCCCUCUUAGGCUUUUUGGCGGCUAUUUGGGGAAAAAUGUGAGGUUGGUUGGGGCAACAGAGGAGUAAAAAAAACCUCCAUCUUGUUUGAGUUGGCUGGUGGGUGUGAUCCGCAGGUAGAGCGAUUAGAAGACUAAGUUACCCCGGGGAUAACAGCGUAAUCUUUUUUGAGAGUUCUUAUCGAAAAAAGGGGUUGCGACCUCGAUGUUGGAUUAGGACAUCCGCAGGGUGCAGGAGCUCUGGAAGGUGGGUCUGUUCGACCUUUAAAGUCCUACA